rnacentral:tRNA from 1 species
GGGAAGGUGGCUCAGUGGUAGAGCAUUCGCCUUUCAUGCCAAAGAGAAGAGACAGAAAUUAGACAAUCUUGCCA